UACAUGGGGUGCAAACGUUGCUCGGAAUUAUUGGGCGUAAAGCGCGCGUAGGCGGUUACUCAAGUCGGAUGUGAAAGCCCUCGGCUUAACUGAGGAAGUGCACCCGAAACUGAGUAGCUAGAGUACUAAAGAGGGUCGCGGAAUUCCCGGUGUAGAGGUGAAAUUCGUAGAUAUCGGGAGGAACACCGGUGGCGAAGGCGGCGACCUGGGUAGAUACUGACGCCGAGGUGCGAAAGCGUGGGGAGCAAACAGG
rnacentral:rRNA from 1 species